ACCCUUUUAAAAUAUGCACAAAAAGCAGAGCAUUGCAAUCAGAUUUCAGAGACAAAAGUGUCACGUAUAUUUGAAACAAACCCACUAUAGUUUAAGCUUUUUAAGAGAAAAAAUUCUACUUAAAAGGUUUACUUAUAGUGAUAACUUAUAAAAUAAGGAAGGAGUUUACGUGGGCACAACUACAAGAUCCUUAUAGUUGUAAUUUAGCUUAUUUCUUAUGUCUAUUAUAUGACAGUUAGUUUGAGCUGAAUUUAAAUAAAUAAGAGCUGGAAAAUAAUAUAUAAUUCAAAAACAUAGUCAGUCACUGAUAACUUCAUAAAAGUGUCUGCAUCCUCUGAGAUAAAGAAAUCCCAUUUCAGUCAGUUUUGUUUUGUUGGUGUUUGUUUGAUUUGGUUUGGUUUGGUUUGCUUUGGUUGUCAUUGUUUUUUGGCAAUAAUUGGAUGAGGAUCCAGAAAUAUAAAGCAUGAAUUAUAAGGUAUAAUUAAUACGUUUCCUACAAUGCAGCUUUGAUGGGAAGUGAAUGGUUCUUUAUUUGUGCUGAGAAAAGAAAAACCCCACUAAGUUAAAUUUAAAAUAACUGGGACUAGUGAGAAGGCUCACUCACUAUGAGCACUGGCUCCUCUUUCAGAGGUUCCUGCAUUCAACUCCCAGCAACCACAUCUAGGGAUCUGAUGCCCUCUUCUGGCAUGCAGGUAUACAUGCAGACAGAGUACUCACUAAAAAUAAGAAUUACUUAUAUACUUUUCUAUGUAUACGUCAGUAUAGCCUAAGUUUGUUCUGAUAUUCUCAGGGACUGGUAAUAGACAUAUGUCAGGAACAAGAAAUAUUCUUUUCUUUAGAUUUACUUUUUUUUAAAUUUAUGUGUAUGGAUACACAUGUAGUAGGUACCUUCAGAAGCCAGAGGAAAGAAUAGGAUCCUCCAGGAACUAGAGUUGCAGACAAUGCCCGCCUUGUAUUGGUGCUGGGAACUAAACUCCAGUCUCUUGAAAGAACAACAGGCACCCUUUAACUGUUUAGCCAUCUCUGCUUCACUAAGAAAUACUCUCUUAAAAACUUUAUCAGAAGGAUAUUUGUUUCCCUUCUGUCCACAGUCUACAUCUGUCCUCAGAGACUCCUACCCAGCUGGCAGAUACCAUCCAGGAACCAAUCUUGCCUCUACUACUGCCCAGGAACCGGCUCACCUCUCUAGUCCCAGUGGUCCUACAAAGCCAAAAGGCCCCUGACUUGCUGACCACAGAGAAAAAGAGGUACUUGUCUCUUCCUCAACAACGAAUGCUAUUAUGUAAACCAGUCUGCCCAGGUAGUAGAGUGGCUUUAAGAACAACCCAGAGCUGGGUUGCAGAAUCCAACCUUUGGGAGCUGACUCCAGUCAGCACUCUCAGCUCCUUCCUCUCCUCUGCCUUCCCAUCUCCCACAUGGUAAAGAGUGCCCCAUCUCUUCAGAUUUUUUUUUCAGAACAGAAUUACUGAGUGAACCAGAUGCUUCUGACAGUAUUCCCCCAGGUCUCCUAUAGUCUCAGCUGCUCCCCCAGGUCUCCUAUAGUCUCAGCUGCUCCCCCAGGUCUCCUAUAUUCUCAGCUGCCAGCUUACACCCCUGCUUUGGAUCAGCAUUCCACACCCGCCCUUUGCCAAUAUGUCUACUCAGCAGGAAGCAGCUUAUGUGAAAUACUGUCACCCCUUAUCAUCAAUAAAGGGCUGAACUGUUAGGUCUCUAAAUCAGGCACCAGCGUUGUAGUGCUGAUGUCAAGGACUCUAGCUGGGUUCUGUAAGGAAACAAAAACCUAAAGCAUUUCUCAGAAGCCCUUAGAGGCCAGCUGAAUAAACCUAACAGCAACUGUCAGCACCUUGUCUGCCGGAAAAAGUUCCCACACUAACCAUCUGGCUGUUUCAACUUCUGAACAUCCUGCCACCCCCUGGCACAAUACAUUCAUAUAAAACACAACAAGCUGAACACUGUCCUCCACUGUGAAAGGCAGCUAGUUGGGGUUCUCUCCACAGAGAGUGGGAGAGUGUCUUGUUUUGCACCACAUACACCAAAUAACUGCUCCUAAAUAAAUAUACCACUUGUAUACCACCAAUUCCACAUCACAAUUUAGUUUUAAAUAUGAACUAAUCGAAGCUGGAGGAAGAGUAAGCAAGACUGUAUAUUAUUGGCUAUCAUGGUGAGACAGGCUGACUCCAUUACAGGCUUCAAACUGGCAGUUUGGGGCACUAGACCUAAAUCUCUGUUUCCAAGAAGUGGGGAAGUCCAGGCCUCAGAAGCUGCCCAGCCUCCAGGCCUGAGGUAAGCUGGAUGGGUCAGCGGCAGUUUCUAGACUUCUUCAUCAACAGUUUCCAGGCUUCCCCAGUAACAGUUUCCAGCCUUGCCCCCCUCCCCGGCCCCCAAGCCCCAGCAAUGGUUCUGGAAUGUACCUAGAGAUAGAUCCAACAGGUUAAGAUAGAGGUCACCUACCCUUCACUGGAAUUCCCCUAAUGUGCUUUAAAAUGGGCAUGUGAGCUCAUUUCAGGACCUCCACCUUGGAAGAUGGUAGACUCAGCAUGUUGGACUUACACAAAACAAAAAAAAAACAAAAAAUGCUCUCUGGUUUUGCAUACUAUGUGAGUCCAGGGUAUCAUUCUUCGGCGAAUCAUGGACCCUUAUCAUGGGUAUUAAGUUUGUUAGGGUUUCAUAUGCUCAGUAUAAUUACCCAGGGAGGCAGAGGGGAAGUUUUGUAUCACACGAGAUGAAAACUGAGGAGGCAAGAGAACGUGUUAACAUGGAGUGAUCCUGAAACAAGCUAACGAUUGCAGAAUUAAGGGCAUCUUUCAACUGCCAUGUGGCUUCCCACUAGUGUAGCAGAUGGGGGUGUGGGAUGUCUAUCUUUCAAAAUAGAAGUGUCCUUUAGAAAUAUGGCUCUAUUACCUGUCCUCUUUCUCCUUCACAGUGUUGGACAGGAAGUAGGGAAAUAGUUCCAGCAUUUCGUAUACCUCAGUUUUAUACUGAUCAUAUAAACUGCAACCUAAUUACUUUUCCCUGUCCUUCUACAUGACUGUCAAUUCCUUGUGCUGGAUAGUUUUUCAGUGUCUGGUUAAUAGAAAGAACUAUCACAUAUUGCACUUUACUAUCAAAUCGGGUCCCUCAAUGCCAGAGUACCCAAAUGCUGGUUUACACAGUGUUGAUUCCAGAUGUCUGUCUGAUUGUGCUGUGUUUGCAUAUUAUCUUUAUCUAAGCAGGGAGUAUAAUUCAGUGAUAGAGUGCCUGCCUAUCACACAGAGGCACUGGUCUGGAAGAAAUAUGUUUACAGGUAUAUGAAAGCAUGCAUUUCACUGUGUGCACUACUCUCACAGUGUGUCAGAACAAUGUCUUUGACAGCCGAUUGCAUCAGCAUAAGUUUGUCUCUUUUCCCUGUAUCUCCUGUUGCCAUGAUAAUACACAUGUAUGCUCAACAGCCCAAGCCAUAAACUUGUCCAGACC
rnacentral:lncRNA from 1 species